CCCUUAGAUGUUCUGGGCUGCACGCGCGCUACACUGAAGCGUUCAACGAGUAUUCACCUUGCCCGGGAGGGUUGGGUAAUCUUUUGAAAACGCUUCGUGAUGGGGAUAGAUUAUUGCAAUUAUUAAUCUUCAACGAGGAAUUCCUAGUAAGCGCGAGUCAUCAGCUCGUGCUGAUUACGUCCCUGCCCUUUGUACACACCGCCCGUCGCUCCUACCGAUUGAGUGGUCCGGUGAAAUCUCGGGACGGCGGCUUGGUCGCUUGCGUCCGACUGCUGAAACUUGAUUAAACCAUAUCAUUUAGAGGAAGGUGAANUCGUAACA
rnacentral:rRNA from 1 species